rnacentral:rRNA from 1 species
AUGUCGCCGUCGUCGCCGCAGCACCCGCCGCCGCCGCCGGCGAACGGCGGCCGUCUCCUCGUGCUCUACGCGUCGCAGACCGGCCACGCCGAGGAAGCCGCCGGGCGCGUGGGCCGCGAGGCCGAGCGCGGCGGCUGCCCGGCCGUGCACGUCCUGUCCAUGGACAGCUUCGACCCUAGGCGCUUGCCGGGAGAAAGGUUUGUGGUCUUCGUCGUGUCCACCGGCGGGCAGGGCGACCCCCCGGACUCCAUGAAGGGGUUCUGGAGGUACCUUCUGAAGAAGAACCUUGAUGCCCGGUGGCUGCAAGGGUUCCGUUACGCCGUGUUUGGGCUCGGCGAUUCACGCUACCAGGAUUACAAUGUUGCUGCAAAGAAGCUCUGUAAAAGGCUUUCACAGCUUGGUGCAACAAAACCGAUCAUAGGGAUAGGCUUGGGAGAUGACCAACACUCUUCAGGAUAUGAAAAAGCUCUAGCUCCUUGGCUGUUGUCUUUGUGGAAUUCACUGAAUCGAACAAAUCCGUCACUUUUACCAAGAAUACCCGACAUAAUAAAUCCCAAUCUGAAUAAUUUGGGGGAUGCAAAAGGUCGAAACUCCAAGAAAUUAAUCAGGAGAGCACGCUCAAUGAACCCUGCUCUAAAGUUCCAUAAUGAUGGAGAGCCACAAUACAUGUUAAAGAUGGUAACAAAUCAGCGCUUGACUAAGAAGGAGCCUGAGAGAGAUGUGCGCCAUUUUGAAUUGGAAGACCAAUCUUCUGCGAUCCAUUAUCAAGUUGGUGAUGCUUUGGAAAUUCUACCAAGUCAGAAUCCAUCAGCUGUUAACGCUUUCAUCAAACGCUGUAACUUGGAUCCAGAUUGCUACAUAACGAUUCGAGCAAAGGGCGGGGAUAAAUAUUCCAAAGAUUCACCUGUGAAUGGCUUGAUGGAUCGCAUCAAGUUAAGGACCUUUGUUGCUUUGACAAUGGAUGUUGCAUCAGCUUCCCCUGGGCGGUAUUUCUAUGAGAUCAUGAGCUAUUUUGCAACAGCUCAACAUGAAAAGGAAAGGCUUCAUUGUUUUGCAACAACUGAAGAUGAAAAGGAGAGGCUUCAGAAGAAAAGGCUUCAGAAGGAAAGGCUUGAGGAGUUUGCUUCUCCUGAAGGAAGAGAUGACCUGUACCAGUACAAUCACAAGGAGGGUCGAACUGUUCUAGAAGUAUUGGAGGAAUUUCCUUGGGUGCACAUGCCUUUUGAAUGGUUGGUGCAAUUGACACCACCAUUGAAGAAAAGAGCAUUUUCAAUAUCGUCAUCGCCAUUAGCACAUCCAAACCAGAUACACUUGACUGUUAGUGUUGUGUCAUGGCUUGCUACUCCUUUCAGGAGAAAGCAUGGUCUCUGCUCCACAUGGCUGGCAGGACUCGAUCCAAAUGAAGGAACUCUUGUACCAUGUUGGAUACACCGAGGAUCCCUGCCUCCAGAUCCGGCGACUCCUCUCGUUCUUAUUGGGCCAGGAACAGGAUGUGCGCCAUUCCGAGCAUUCGUGGAGGAGAGGGCUGUGCAGAGGGUGAAAGAACCCACAGCUCCGAUCCUAUUCUUCUUCGGCUGUAGAAACGAAGACGAUGAUUUUCUAUACAGGGACUUUUGGCUACAUCAUGCCCAGGACAACAGAGUGCUGUCCGUGGAAGAGGGCGGCGGUUUCUUUGUCGCCUUCUCUAGGGAUCAGCCUGAAAAGGUGUAUGUGCAGCACAAGAUCAGGGAGCAGAGUGCAAGGGUGCUGAACAUGUUAUGCUCUGGUGCCGCAGUAUACGUCGCGGGGUCGUCUACCAAAAUGCCUGCUGAUGUUAGAGCUGCGCUGGAAGAAGUUGUCCGCGAAAAGGGCGGCGACGCUGGAUGGCUCAGGAAACUGGAAAGGGCUGGUAAAUAUAACACCGAAACUUGGUCAUGA